GAUGAACGCUGGCGGCGUGCCUAAUACAUGCAAGUCGAGCGAACAGACGAGGAGCUUGCUCCUCUGACGUUAGCGGCGGACGGGUGAGUAACACGUGGAUAACCUACCUAUAAGACUGGGAUAACUUCGGGAAACCGGAGCUAAUACCGGAUAAUAUAUUGAACCGCAUGGUUCAAUAGUGAAAGACGGUUUUGCUGUCACUUCUAGAUGGAUCCGCGCCGCAUUAGCUAGUUGGUAAGGUAACGGCUUACCAAGGCAACGAUGCGUAGCCGACCUGAGAGAGUGAUCGGCCACACUGGAACUGAGACACGGUCAAGACUCCUACGGGAGGCAGCAGUAGGGAAUCGUCCGCAAUGGGCGAAAGCCUGACGGAGCAACGGCGCGUGAGUGAUGAAGGUCUUCGGAGCGUAAAACUCUGUUAUGAGGGAAGAACAAAUGUGGAAGUAACUAUGCACGUCUUGACGGUACCUAAUCAGAAAGCCACGGCUAACUACGUG
rnacentral:rRNA from 1 species